ensembl:rRNA 5_8S_rRNA 5.8S ribosomal RNA
AACUCUUAGUGGUGGAUCACUCGGCUCGUGCGUCGAUGAAGAACGCAGCUAGCUGCGAGAACUAUUGUGAAUUGCAGGACACAUUGAUCAUCGACACUUCGAACGCACCUUGCGGCCCUGGGAGGAACCCGGGGCCACGCCUGUCUGAGGGUCG